ACGCAUACAAUUUUAGGGCAAAUUAUUUCAGCCUCCCAAAUUGCCUCCAUCUGUAUUCUUGUUCUCAUCAUUUCAGCUUCCAAAUCGCCUCCAUCUCUAUUCUCGUUCUCAACUCGGAACUUGCCCGCUCUCUCUGUCUCUGCAACUGCAAACUACAAAAUCUACAAGAAUCAGAACCCAUAUCAGCAUAUCAUUUCAGAUUGUUGAAAAAAUCAAAACCCAUAUCCUUCAGUUUCCAAAUCCCGCUAUUCUAGCUUGAUCGGGUUCGCUGUUUGCAAGCUUCAGCCUCUGGCUCGCUGUCUCUCAACUCUAAAGCCCUCUCUCUGCAACUGCUAACUUCUGUAGAGCUUUAGAUGAGUAUAAAGCUGGAGCACAACGUUUUGUUAAUUGGGCUAAACUUAAUGCGGGGAAUCGAGAAAGCAUUUUACAUCAAAAUUUGUAAGUGACGCAUUUCUUUUAUGAUUGCACAUUUUUAAUGCUUUUAUACUCAUGCUCAGGGGGGUCACGUGCCUUAAGUGACCAAUUUUGCGGUGUAUAGGGGGUCACGUGCCUUAAGUGACCAUUUCAUUUAUUUUUUGUUUGAUUAGAUGAAAAAAAAAAUAGCUUUUAAGUGUGUGUUUGUGUGUGUGAGAAAGAGAUAUUAAAGAUGAAGGUUUGAAAAUAUGUGACUUUGAGCUUGAGAGGGAGCCAGGAAACUUAACAGGAGAGCCAAAAAAAUUAGCUGAGAAAAGGAUAUUGACUUCUUCAUGCCUGUUCGAUCUUUUGCUCUUUCACCAAAAUUUAUAUUACUUGCAAAAAUGGAACUGCUUUAAAAAUAUAUCUCCUUUAUGAAAAAUUAUACCUAAUAUAACUAUCUCAACGCUUGUUUUCAGAAACUUCAUUUAAGCUCAUUGUCAUACAAAAUGCAGUCUCGAUUAUGGAGUAGAGGUUAUCUAUCUUCAUGUGGACUUGAAUAUUUUCUAUUCACUUUAUGCAUAUGAUUGAUGCAAACUUCUUCUGCCACCUUAUGUAGUCAUUUCUAGAAAACGUCUCAGGAAACUUUGAUCCCUUAAUCCCAAUUGGUAAUCAUUCCACUCAAUUUAUAGUUGAGUUUUAAACAAUCUUAAAAAAGACCAGCAGAAGACAGCUGCUUCCUACCUUUGGUUGUGGACCUCAAAAAUGACACUAGUUUUUCGAAUAUGGAUAGUAUGAAUAAGUUAAUUGUGUAAGAUCAUAAACUGCCAACUUCAGCAAUAAAGAGUAGUUAAGAAUUUAAAUUAUGCACCACAGAAGCCCUGAUAUAGGAACAUUAGAAAUUCAAACAGUUCAAUAAAGAAUUGUGAUUAAGGUUUACUGAGAAAUAAAUUAGGGACAGUUGAAAAUUUAGCAAAGAGGGUUUUGGGAAGAGAACUACGAUUUAUUGGAGCUAUUUUAAUGGUUGAAUUUUGGUUUAAUUAAAAAGAAAACAAGUUGUUUAUCUAAAUUAAUUAGAGAGCAGAGUUAAGGAAAACAAAUAGAGAACAAGUGGAAGAGGAAAGAGGAAAGAGAGCAAAGAAGUAAAAGAAAAUGCAACAACGAGUUUACCAAAAUCAAGGACUAAUGCUUACAGCUGGCUCAAUGUUAUUUGAGACCUAAAGCAAAAAAUCAAAAUAUGGCUUUGAUUUUAAUUUAUCAAUAUAAAAAAUAUUGAUAUUCUGAUAUUUAAAAAAACAAUUUUCUUGCUUUUUGAGAUGCGAAUUGCUAAUCAAGUUUCUGUAAAAUUUUUGGAGUGAUUUUGAUUUAGCACAUUUAAAAAUGAAGUUAAAAAUUAGGAAGAAAUUUUGAAGAAAAUGAAUGUGCAGAAAAGGUGAUACGGAAUAUUCAACUAGAUAAGAAUUCUAAGUGACAUGAAGACUCAAAGGGCAUGGAUAAACUUAAGGAGAUAAGGUGACCAUCUCAUAAGGUAAUUAAAGGAUAAGAUUUAAUUAAUUCAAAGGUUGCACUAAAGAUACGAUUAACUAAUCCCUUCUCUCCCGGAAGGAAAUACGGAAAUGACAACUUCAACUUUCUAUAAAAGUGAGGCCAGUCAACAGAAAAAGGUACGCCAUAAAUCCCAGAUUGAAUCCUUUAUCGGAGAUGGAAUCGUGAAGUACUAAUUUGACCGUCAGAGUGCACCCGGCCGGCACCACGCCGGUCAUCUCUUUUCUCUUGUCUUGCAGGAAUCGUCAAUGGCUCCAGAGUGUGUAUAUUUUUGCAUCAACAAAAGAAAUAGUUAACAAGUGUGAAGAAAUACAAAGUGGUGUGAGAGAAUGAAAAUAUAUAUAUAUAUAUAUAUAUAUAUAUAGGAGAGAGAAGAGGCUGAGAAAAAUAAAAUAGGAGAGAGAAGAGGAGAUGAGAAGGGGGGAAAAAGAGAGUAAGAAAAACAGGUGAAGAUCUUUCACAUUAUACAGAGAGACGGUCGAGUUAUUACAGGAACAGUUGUGUCAACUGGCAAGGCAUCAUGUUGACAAGCCCCUUGCUAAGAGAUGUGCUACCAAUUCUUGUUUCAAUAAUACAAGAGAUACGAAAUGAGGAUUUUGAUUUUGGUUGUGUUUAAAGAAAGGGUAGUAAAUCUGGUGUGUGUGGGGAGGGGAGAAUGGAAGGUCAAAGCUAGGAUUGCGGGAUUGCGGUUCCCAUGACUUUUUUUGUUGCCGUUAUAUUUUUUGUAUGGCUCAUGAUCAAGAAGUUGCAUAUAUGGAAGAGAUACUAAAAUAGAGCAAGAAGAUAUGAAGAAAUUUUGUUUUA